rnacentral:tRNA from 1 species
GCCGGCGUGGCGGAAUUGGUAGACGCGCCAGACUCAAAAUCUGGUGUCCGCGAGGAUGUCCCGGUUCGAGUCCGGGCGCCGGUA